rnacentral:rRNA from 1 species
UACGGAGGGCGCAAGCGUUGGUCGGAAUUACUGGGCGUAAAGCGCGUGUAGGUGGCUUGGAAAGGCGGGUGUGAAAGCCCGGAGCUCAACUCCGGAACUGAAUCCGAUACUGCCAAGCUCGAGUCUCGGAGAGGAUGGCGGAAUUUCCGGUGUAGAGGUGAAAUUCGUAGAUAUCGGAAGGAACACCAGUGGCGAAGGCGGCCGUCUGGACGAUGACUGACAAUGAGACGCGAAAGCGUGGGGAGCAAACAGG